ensembl:lncRNA
CGGACCUAUUUUCUCUCCAUGUCCCCGGAUUUCAACCGCAAGCUCUGGACAUUUAUACCUGGAUCUCGCAGCUAGCUAUCUGCUAUCUGCUAUCAGCUUACGUCGAUCCCCGAGCAAACAUAAAUUAUUCCGAAGCUAGCCAGCUGAAGAGUUCCAUCAGCCACUCCUGGGCUACAAUCACCUAUCCGGACCUGUUUUACUGCCAACGCGGAGCCCCCCUGGGCCUUCACAACUGGACUACCGAUGUUAUCUGCCCGAGGGAGUUAUCCAGCUGGCUCCUCCGUCUCGACGUUACCUGUCUUAUCGGCUGCUAUCUGAAUAGAUCUAUCAGACCAUUUAUUUUCUUUCUUUUUUUCUUCUUUUUUUUUUCUUGGGCCUCUAUAACUAUAUCUAUUUUUUGCGAAUUGGAUUGAUCCCCUCUACCACACAGAACCCCACUAAUCCUACUGACGGAAACGCACAAGGUGGCUAAAAACAGACCUCCAUGCUAUGCUAGCUUGCUACCGAUGGCCCGGCUAGCUGUCUGAAUCGCCGUGACCCCAACCAACCUCACUACUCACUGGACCCUUUUGAUCACUCGACUAAGCAUGCCUCUCCUUAAUGUCAAUAUGCCUUGUCCAUUGCUGUUCUGGUUAGUGUUUAUUGGCUUAUUUCACUGUAGAGCCUCUAGUCCUUCUCACUAUACCUUAUCCAACCUAUUAGUUCCACCACCCACACAUGCGAUGACAUCUCCUGGUUUCAAUGAUGUUUCAAGAGACAAUAUCUCUCUCAUCAUCACUCAAUACCUAGGUUUACCUCCACUGUAUUCAGAUCCUACCAUACAUUUGUCUGUACAUAAUACCUUAAAGCUAUUUCAUCGCCCCCAGAAACCUCCUUUUACUCUCUGUUCCAGACGUUCUACACAAAUAAUUCUCAUUGCUUUUAGCCGUACCCUUAUCCUACUCCUCCUCUUUUCCUCUGGUGAUGUAGAGGUGAAUCCAGGCCCUGCAGUGCCUAGCUCCACUCUUAUUCCCCCAGGCGCUCUCUUUUGAUGACUUCUGUAACCGUAAUAGCCUUGGGUUCAUGCAUGUUAACAUUAGAAGCCUCCUCCUUAAGUUUGUUUUAUUCCCUG